CUGUGCAUAGCUGCACCGAAUCUGAACAGCAAUGGCAAAGCCACGGACAGUGGGUGUGAAGCCAGGACCUAUCAACUCUAUGAUCUUCACUAAGCCGGUACCAAAUAGGAUGGCCCAGACUGGAGUACGGAGUGGAUUCUACAGAGGCAUUGUGGGUCCAUUACCAGAUCCCUGACCUGACAAGCCCCUUGUGGAAAGUGCCUUUGGGCUGGUGCAGGAGGGCAGUGUUCUGUCAUGUCAGCAGCCGGUUUUGACAACCCGGUACAUCACACUACACCGUGAUGCACCACCAACACCGCACUUGCCUCUGGAGGGGUACACAUCAAGG